GUCUGGGAAACUGCCCGAUGGAGGGGGAUAACUACUGGAAACGGUAGCUAAUACCGCAUAACGUCUUCGGACCAAAGUGGGGGACCUUCGGGCCUCACACCAUCGGAUGUGCCCAGAUGGGAUUAGCUAGUAGGUGGGGUAAUGGCUCACCUAGGCGACGAUCCCUAGCUGGUCUGAGAGGAUGACCAGCCACACUGGAACUGAGACACGGUCCAGACUCCUACGGGAGGCAGCAGUGGGGAAUAUUGCGCAAUGGGGGAAACCCUGACGCAGCAAUGCCGCGUGAGUGAGGAAGGCCUU
rnacentral:rRNA from 1 species